UGGGGAAUAUUGGACAAUGGGCGGAAGCCUGAUCCAGCAAUACCGCGUGGAUGAUGAAGGCCUUAGGGUUGUAAAAUCCUUUCGUUGGGGACGAUAAUGACGGUACCCAAAGAAGAAGCUCCGGCUAACUUCGUGCCAGCAGCCGCGGUAAUACGAAGGGGGCUAGCGUUGUUCGGAUUUACUGGGCGUAAAGCGCGUGUAGGCGGGUCGUUAAGUUGGGGGUGAAAUCCCGAGGCUCAACCUCGGAACUGCCUUCAAAACUGGCGACCUGGACCUAAGUAGAGGCAAGUGGAAUUGCGAGUGUAGAGGUGAAAUUCGUAGAUAUUCGCAGGAACACCAGUGGCGAAGGCGACUUGCUGGACUUAUGGUGACGCUGAGACGCGAAAGCGUGGGGAGCAAACAGGAUUAGAUACCCACGUAGUCCCUGAGCGGGCUGGCAAGGCGCAU
rnacentral:rRNA from 1 species